rnacentral:misc_RNA from 1 species
AAAAUGGAGACUAUGAUCACGAGGUAUUUACUUCAUUGAGAUUAUAUGUAUAUAUUGCUUUUAGUUAUUGAAAAAGCGUUUAGUUACUGUAUGGAUGAUGUAUGAUGUGCACAAUGAUAUGUGCUUUUACUUAUUGCCCUUCAAAUUUCAAUUUAUGAAAUCGAGCUUCCUUUAAAGUGACUCUGGCUAUUGAGUUCAAGGCUCUUUCUUACCUUCACAGGCUGCAGAACAAAAUGGAGAU